AGCCGAUCGUGGGCGUCUUAUCCACCAAUCCCGCGUCCUUCUCGAGCCCCACAUCCCUCCUCCCCAUCAAUCCCCCGUCCUACUCCAGCCAUGCCUCGCCGCCACCUCUCCUUCCCCAUUCAUCCUCUCGAUCCGCUGCCGCCGCCAUAUCUCUCCUCCCCACACAUCCUCUCUCCUCGUCACAUCUGGCCGGAGGAGAACAUUGCGGCGGCAUCUCCUGGCGAUGGCAGUGAGGGCGGGUGAGGCUGCAAGGCGACGAGCCAAGGCGGCGGAGGAUCCGGUUCGUAUGCUGUUGUUGUUGCCGAUGGACGGAUGAGGCGCUCUCAGGUCACUCCCCACGGGCCUCCUUCGUCUCCCAAGUCUCAACCAUGGCCGGCUCCAACCCCUCCUCUGUUGUUGUGCUCCUGUAGGAGAAGAAGAAGAAGAGUAGGCAUGAUCUCUGUAUACAUCCAGUGUAUUUGGUUGGAUUACUUUCGUUCUCUGAGAAAUUUGGCAUUGAAAAAUAAAAGAAAUAAGAGACCCACGGUCUGUACUUAAGGUCUAGGAUCUGCUAGGUUGGUGGAUCUGCGAGCUUGCGGUUCCUGUUGUUGAUCAACCGCUGCUUCGGUGGAGGUUUAAUCAACCAAGUGAGUGCAGUAGCAAACCAGCUGUGCGGCUUAUAGGAGCACUUGCGCCAUCUUUGUAAUGGUUGCUUUAUGUAGGUCUCCACAGGCUUGCCGUCAGAAGACAUUUUAAUGGUACUGCUGAAUCUGUUCCCACCAGAGGCCUCUUGUGGGCACGAUAUAUAUGUAAGUGAGGAAAACACAAACACCCUUGUCACUACUGGAGAGGAUGGCCUAAAAUUCUGGGAUUUAAGUGAAUUUGCACCUUGGGUGGGGUGACGAGGUUGCUGCGGCUAGGCUGCCGAUUGGCCAAGCAAACCCUACUGUGUCUACACCUCUGCAUGGGUACUUGCCGCUUUUGUAAACCUCACUGUCAUAACUGGAAUGAAUUGCAAAUAAAAUUGUAAGUUUCCUCGCGUAUUCUCACUUCAUUUGAAGCACUUUCCACAUCUGAUAGCCCAGGUGGGAUAUAAAUGGAACUUUCACUUAGAUAGUUGCAUUCUAAAAUACGUCUAUAUACAUCCAUAUGUAGUCCAAAUAGUAAUCUCUAAAAACACUUAUAUUUAGGAACGGAGGGAGUAAUUCUCUGACAAGUUCCUAUUGAUUACAUGUACGUAUGGUUUAUUUUCUACAGUUGGAAAAGGUCCUAAAAUAUCGUCGACAUGGUUUAUGUAUGGUCAGCAAAGGCCUUAAGCAUGUCUUCUGCAAGUUUUUGUUAGUUAUCACUUCAUAGCUUGGUCAAACUUUUUGGCCGGUGACAAGUUAUAGGUAAGGUCUCCAUCCUCUCCUUUAUUUCUUUGGAUCACUACAGUUCUUAUAGCUUUCCGAAUCAUGCAUGCCAUGGUGCAAACUCAAAUAUGUAAAUAAUGCGUUUCCUUUUUUUUGCUUGUCACUCUUGCUCUUAUCAGGCAAAGAAACAUAUAAAGAACUAAUUAUUGUGGUGGAUCUUGCAUUUCUGAUUAUCCAUUAUCCAUUACUUCUAAAACAGCAGCAGGUGGGUGAAUGAUUGGCUACCAACAGUUCCAUAUACUUCAUCAGCUUUGUGAUAGUAAGCAUAGUAACAUGUUCAAAUAUAUGUCCCAGGCGAACCAGCUGCUUAAGUACCAUUCUUAUAUUUAGCUUCGUGCUUAUAAUUCUUUUGUGCCAUCUAUGAUGAACUCCACACAGCCUUAUGUUUAGAUGUGGCAUGCUCCAUGCUAUGAACAUUGUAAUCCUCUAUCAUUAGCUUUCUUUUCUUAUACUACAUAUGUAUAAUGAUCAUCAAUAUAUACCCACAUAAUACUUGGUUAUAGUUAGCAUCUUGCGCCAUGGGCGCAACGGGUCAUCUAGACACAACAAAAGCGCCAAAUCAUCAACCUAGACAACAAUAUUAAUGUUCGUAGACUGCGAAAGAUCAUCCAGAACACCACCACAUCUAAUCACUAGUAUGUCUGUCACAUGAUAGAAACAUUUGCUACAGACGGCAAAAGGAUGGUAAUCCUUUGCAAUUACUUUGUUUUGUUUCAUACAAUGACAUCGUAUAAAAUGAUAUACUAACUAACCUUUACUUUCAUUUUCAGUAUUUUGGGGUUCCCUUUUCUAAGAGCUCCCUUUUCUCACACAUGGAUGCUGACCAUGGUGAACUGCCAAUCACUACUGGAGACGGAACUACCGCUGUCACAGCCUGCUUUAUCAUGGGUGUUGACAAAAGGGCCACCAUCACUAGAGGCUGGAGUGACUUCUUUCGUCAGGCGCACAUGGAGAAAGGUCAAGCAUAUGCUUUCGACUUUAAAUGCACUUCCAAGAGACUGCGCCUGAUCGUCUACUCAAUAUAAACAAGUUGCAAGAGCCCCUUGUUAUAUAACUUAGCAUUAGUAGAGAUGCCUACUAAGACUUCUAUGUUUAUCAUUUGUCUAUUGCAUGUUCUCUGCUCAUUGCAGGUAUGCAAGCUCUGCCUUUUGAAACUCUUGGUGUAAAGAAAAAUUAUUGUUGUUUGCCCUAUCAAGAAUAUUAGCUCGAAUAAGUCCAGAUGUAUGCCAACUGAAAAGGUUAUUAUGCGUUUAUUUUCAUA